GAACACUUCCAGGGAUGGGGCAUCCACAACCUCUCUGGGCAGCCUGUGCCAGCACCUCACCACUCAUAGUAAAGAACUUCUCCCUGAUAUCCAACCUAAAUCUUCACUCCCUCAUCUUAAAACCAUUUCCCCUUGUCCUGUCAUUACCUACCCUUGUAAAGAGCUGACUGCCCUCCUGUUUAUAGGCUCCCUUCAGGUACUGGAAGGCUGCAAUGAGGUCAUCCCGCAGCCUUCUCUUCUCCAGGCUGAACAAGCCCGGCUCCCUCAGCCUGUCUUUGUAGGGGAGGUGCUGCAGCCCUCUGAUCAUCUUUGUGGCCCUCCUCUGGACCCUCUCCAACAGCUCUCUGUCUUUCUUGUAUUGGGGGCCCAGACCUGGACACAGUACUCGAGAGUGGGCCUCACGAGGACAAAGUAGAGAGGGAGGCAAUGUGUAUGCUCUGCCUCUCGUGGAGAGGGCUUAGGUAUUAAUGAUGCAGCAGAAAGGAAUCAGAAUCCUAGGACUGUUUGAGUUGAAUCCUUUAAAGGUCAUCUGCUUCAAUUCCUCUGCAACAAACAGGGAAACCCACAGCUCCGUGAGGUGCUCAGAGCCCCAUCCAUCAUCACCUUCAGUGUCUCCAGGGCAACCACCUCUCUGGGCAACCUGUGCCAGCACUUCACCACCCUUAGCAUAAAAAGCUUCUUCCAUAUAUCCAAUCUAAAUUUCCCCUCUUUUAGUUUGAAACAAUUUCUCUUUGUCCUCUCACAACAGACCCUGCUAAAGAGUCUGUCCUCUUCUGUCUUAUACCCCCCUUUAGAUACUGGAAGACUCUUACCCAGCCACAGGCGUAGCAUUUGUUUUGCUAAGAACUGAGGGGAUGCCCCUCGUUUUGUCUGUUCACUGGGGAAUUAUUCAAGAGCUGUGUGCUAUUGAUGUGGCCUUGAGGAGCGUUGGGAAGGGAUUGCAUGCGAUAACCAGAAUGAAGUGAAAAGCGUUAAUUAGUGUAAUUAUUUGGUGGAGCAGAACUCUUUUGUCAGAACGAGCUGAGUUCAUUGGGAAGAUAACCCCGUUUGUAUUGUUUUGUUUUUAUUUACAGGAUCAGAGGCGGGCACUGAGCUCCAGGAACAUCCCUGCUGCUGUGAGGCCAACCUCCCCCACUGCGAUGUCCACGGGGAAAUAAGAGCAAACAGGCAUUGGCGUUGCUGUAGUGACUCUGAGGAGAGAACCAUCGCUUAGUUUGGCUAAGGCAGCUUUUUGACAGACCAACCUGCUCCGUGGAUAAUGAGCCUUUCCAGUCGUCCAUGAUUUAUUGUGAAAACAAAACACUGGAUAAAGUGCUGGGCAGACUGAGAAGGAAGACUUGCAGAGUGUUUGUACUUCCAUGGUGCACAAGGGAACCUGAGGCCGAGGAGGUGAAAUAAAUGCCCAGAGUCAGCUGGGCAAUGGGCAGAAGAGGACACCCAGGCCCUGUAUGCCCCGAACUGGAGAGGUAGCAGCGAGUGCUGUCAGAUGGAUAACCUGAAUUAGGCUGAUUUCUAAAGGAUCCUUUCACCAAAAGUCUUCUGUCAGAAGCAGACGUCAGGCAGCCCCCCCCGCCAGCUUCCUAAGCUUUCACACUGCCAGAGAGGAAUUGCUCUCUUUGACAAAGCUUUCAAAUCCAGUCAGGCUGAAUCUGCUUUCCCUUCUGGAUUUCAGUUAUUAACCAUUCUUUUUAUCUCUGGUGCAUCCAACCACCAUAUGUUCUUAAAUAAAGCCACUUUCCCCUUC